GUACUUACCUGGUAGGGGAUCACAAGUUUCCUCCUACACACCUCCCUGCCCCAGGAUGAGGCUUAUCCAUCACACCUUGGGUGUGCUCACCCCUUUGAUUUCCCAAACUGUGGGAAAUUUAACUAUUUAUUUUAUGGUAGUGAGGGACUGUAUUUGAGCUCUUUCUGA